GACGAACGCUGGCGGCGUGCCUAAUACAUGCAAGUUGAGCGAUGAAGAUUGGUGCUUGCACCAAUUUGAAGAGCAGCGAACGGGUGAGUAACGCGUGGGUAAUCUGCCUUUGAGCGGGGGACAACAUUUGGAAACGAAUGCUAAUACCGCAUAACAACUUUAAACAUAAGUUUUAAGUUUGAAAGAUGCAAUUGCAUCACUCAAAGAUGAUCCCGCGUUGUAUUAGCUAGUUGGUGAGGUAAAAGCUCACCAAGGCGAUGAUACAUAGCCGACCUGAGAGGGUGAUCGGCCAAAUUGGGACUGAGACACGGCCCAAACUCCUACGGGAGGCAGCAGUAGGGAAUCUUCGGACAUGGACGAAAGUCUGACCGAGCAACGCCGCGUGAGUGAAGAAGGUUUUCGGAUCGUAAAACUCUGUUGGUAGAGAAGAAAGUUGGUGAGAGUGGAAAGCUCAUCAAGUGACGGUAACUACACAGAAAGGGACGGCUAACUACGUG
rnacentral:rRNA from 1 species